GGUGUGUACGAGGUGGUGGCUGUCCUCUGGAAUGACACGAUCACUCCCGGUUAAGCCUAAAUAAAUAUUUACCGGGAAACUUGUGUCAGUCAAGAGGGCUUCCCAAGUCUUCAAUUGUUUCC
rnacentral:precursor_RNA from 17 species